rnacentral:lncRNA from 1 species
UAAUUUAUAUUCAAUAUAAAUUUUAUUGCAAUUUGUACUCACUAAUAUCAUAUAACAAAAUUUACUCUUUAUCAUAUCAUGAACUUUGGGUUCAUAUCUUUAAUUCUCUUAUUUCGAUUUCCAAUUCACACAUCAAUUCACAACUUCACUUUAUCGUUUCUUCCCAUAGCUCAAUCAAUCACAUUUAUUCAAUUUUCUCAUUUCAAUUAUUUACCCCUAUUAACAAGACUCGGUCCUUGGCGGAUACACGGAUCCAACCAAACACACCAGAAUGGCACCCAGUGCCUCAUCGGAUAGUUUGAAGCAAUAGUUGACACCCAGUGUCUCAUCGGCCAAGCCGAAGUAAGUUGGUACCCAGUACCUCAUCGAAUCUAUCCGAAGUAAUAGUAUGACACCCAGUGUCUCAUCGACUCAAGGUCGAAGUAUCCCUGAACUCUUCCAAUCCUAUGGCAUGCCAACUAUAUCCGACUCAGCCCGACUAGUUAAUA